UACGUAGGGGGCAAGCGUUGUCCGGAUUUAUUGGGCGUAAAGAGCGUGUAGGCGGCCAAGCAGGUCAGAUGUGAAAACUCGAGGCUCAACCUCGAGACGUCGGUUGAAACCGCUUGGCUAGAGUCCGGAAGAGGAGAGUGGAAUUCCCGGUGUAGCGGUGAAAUGCGCAGAUAUCGGGAAGAACACCCGUGGCGAAGGCGGCUCUCUGGGACGGUACUGACGCUGAGACGCGAAAGCGUGGGGAGCGAACAGG
rnacentral:rRNA from 1 species